rnacentral:rRNA from 1 species
GACGAACGCUGGCGGCGUGCCUAAUACAUGCAAGUAGAACGCUGAAGGAGGAGCUUGCUCUUCUGGAUGAGUUGCGAACGGGUGAGUAACGCGUAGGUAACCUGCCUGGUAGCGGGGGAUAACUAUUGGAAACGAUAGCUAAUACCGCAUAACAGUAGAUGUUGCAUGACAUUUACUUAAAAGGUGCAAUUGCAUCACUACCAGAUGGACCUGCGUUGUAUUAGCUAGUUGGUGGGGUAACGGCUCACCAAGGCGACGAUACAUAGCCGACCUGAGAGGGUGAUCGGCCACACUGGGACUGAGACACGGCCCAGACUCCUACGGGAGGCAGCAGUAGGGAAUCUUCGGCAAUGGACGGAAGUCUGACCGAGCAACGCCGCGUGAGUGAAGAAGGUUUUCGGAUCGUAAAGCUCUGUUGUAAGAGAAGAACGAGUGUGAGAGUGGAAAGUUCACACUGUGACGGUAUCUUACCAGAAAGGGACGGUUAACUACGUG